CCUACGUGGCGCAGCAGUGAGGAAUAUUGGUCAAUGGCCGGAAGGCUGAACCAGCCAAGCCGCGUGAAGGACGAAGGUGCCAAGCAUUGUAAACUUCUUUUGUCAAGGGACAAAAUCAGGCUCGAGAGCCUGACCGAGGGUACUUGAAGAAAAAGCAUCGGCUAACUCCGUGCCAGCAGCCGCGGUAAUACGGAGGAUGCGAGCGUUAUCCGGAUUUAUUGGGUGUAAAGGGCGUGUAGGCGGGAAAGCAAGUCAGAUGUGAAAACUCAGGGCUCAACCCUGAGCCUGCAUUUGAAACUGGUUUUCUUGAGUGCUGGAGAGGCAAUCGGAAUUCCGGGUGUAGCGGUGAAAUGCGUAGAUAUACGGAGGAACACCAGUGGCGAAGGCGGAUUGCUGGACAGUAACUGACGCUGAGGCGCGAAAGCGUGGGGAGCAAACAGGAUUAGAUACCCGAGUAGUC
rnacentral:rRNA from 1 species